rnacentral:siRNA from 1 species
ACGUGUACGACUGCUCCAAACAGU